rnacentral:rRNA from 1 species
UGGGGAAUAUUGGGCAAUGGUCGAAAGCCUGACCCAGCGACGCCGCGUGGGUGAUGAAGGCCUUCGGGUUGUGAAACCCUGUCAUGCGGAAAGAACGACCCUGAGACGCAUACUCCCAGGGAGUGACGGUACCGCAGGAGGAAGCACCGGCUAACUCCGUGCCAGCAGCCGCGGUAAUACGGAGGGUGCAAGCGUUGUUCGGUAUUAAUGGGCGUAAAGGGCGCGUAGGCGGUAAUGUAAGUCAGAUGUGAAAUACUCCGGCUCAACCAGAGAACAGCAUCUGAAACUGCAUAACUAGAGUACAGAAGAGGGAAACGGAAUUCCCGGUGUAGAGGUGAAAUUCGUAGAUAUCGGGAGGAACACCAGUGGCGAAGGCGGUUUCCUGGUCUGAUACUGACGCUGAGGCGCGAAAGCGUGGGGAGCAAACA